CCUCUCGGUCUCAGAAACUGUGGCACCUCAGAUUGAAAGCUGGACUGCUCAGGAGGCUGCCAGGAACGCCAGCAGCAGCUCUAUCACAAGUGAAACUUCACAGAGGACGUGUAAUUAUCGCUAUGUGACAGAGGAAGACAUCCAAGCCAGCAUUGGGGAUUUGCUUCACUUCUGUUUCGGUGAGGUGCUCGGAUACGAACAGGAGAGAUCCCACGAGUCUGAACUGCUACUGGAGUUUCUCUCAGCAGAAGUGACCCACAGGGUGAACAACAUGUUGGCUGCAAUCGUAC